rnacentral:rRNA from 1 species
ACACAUGCAAGUCGAGGGGUAACAGGAAUAGCUUGCUAUUUGCUGACGACCGGCGCACGGGUGCGGAACGCGUAUGGAACCUGCCCCUGUCAGGGGAAUAGCCCAGAGAAAUUUGGAUUAAUGCCCCAUGGUACCGUCAUGUUGCAUGGACAAGACGGUUAAAGAUUUAUCGGACAGGGNAUGGCCAUGCGUACCAUUAGCUUGUUGGUAAGGUAACGGCUUACCAAGGCAACGAUGGUUAGGGGCCCUGAGAGGGGGAUCCCCCACACUGGUACUGAGACACGGACCAGACUCCUACGGGAGGCAGCAGUGAGGAAUAUUGGACAAUGGCCGGAAGGUUGAUCCAGCCAUGCCGCGUGCAGGAUGACGGCCCUAUGGGUUGUAAACUGCUUUUACACGGGAAGAAACCUCCCCUCGUGAGGGGAGCUGACGGUACCGUGAGAAUAAGGACCGGCUAACUCCGUGCCAGCAGCCGCGGUAAUACGGAGGGUCCGAGCGUUAUCCGGAAUCAUUGGGUUUAAAGGGUCCGUAGGCGGGCCUGUAAGUCAGGGGUGAAAGGCCACGGCUCAACCGUGGGACUGCCCUUGAUACUGCAGGUCUUGAGUCAUGGUG